rnacentral:rRNA from 1 species
AUACGUAGGGGCCGAGCGUUGUCCGGAGUUACUGGGCGUAAAGCGUGCGCAGGCGGCUUGUCGCGCCCGGCGUGAAAGCCCCCGGCUCAACCGGGGAGGGUCAUCGGGGACGGGCAGGCUUGAGGACAGCAGGGGCUGGUGGAAUUCCCGGUGUAGUGGUGAAAUGCGUAGAGAUCGGGAGGAACACCUGUGGCGAAGGCGGCCAGCUGGGCUGGACCUGACGCUGAGGCACGAAGGCGUGGGGAGCGAACGGGAUUAGAUACCCCGGUAGUCCACGCAGUAAACGAUGCAGACUAGGCGUGGGGGGACUUGACCCCCUCCGUGCCGGAGCUAACGCGUGAAGUCUGCCGCCUGGGGAGUACGGCCGCAAGGCUAAA